GUUUGCAGAGUGUUGUGAGCACGUUAAGUUUUCGUCUUAAAAGUAAGAUGUUUAAAGUCUUUGUAAAUU
rnacentral:tRNA from 1 species